rnacentral:rRNA from 1 species
AGUGAACGCUGGCGGCGUGCCUAAUACAUGCAAGUCGAACGGAGUGGCGCACGGGUGAGUAAUGUAUAGCUAAUCUGCCCUACACUAGAGGACAACAGUUGGAAACGACUGCUAAUACUCUAUAGUGUAGGAUGAGGCUAUAUUGUAUCAGCUAGUUGGUGAGGUAAUGGCUCACCAAGGCUAUGACGCAUAACUGGUCUGAGAGGAUGAUCAGUCAAACUGGAAGUGAGACACGGGCGAGGAUCCUACGGGAGGCAGCAGUAGGGAAAAUUGCUCAAUGGGGGGAACGCAGAAGGAGCAACGCGGCGUGGAGGAUGACACUUGUCGGAGAGUAAACUCCGUUUGUUAGGGAAGCGGUACCUAACGAAUAAGCACCGGCUAACUCCGUGCCAGCAGCCGCGGUAAUUC